UUGGAUCAAACCUUGCAGCAGUGCUAAGAUCAAAAUAAAUAUAAAAGAUCUCUGUAAGGCUAAGAGAAUUAAUGAAAUAUGAACUUCAAACUGAAUUAUGGCUUUGAUCCGAAAGAGUUGGAUAAACAGUAGUAAGGCUGACUAUUUGGAUCUGAUCCCUUAUCCAAUCCGCCCAUUUUGAGAACUCUAUCAUAUUCCAAUGAUGAACAAUUAAGUUAUAUCCAGAUUCAUUUAUCCUCAACAAAACAAAUAUGGUAAGGAAGGAUGAUAUAUUUACUUCAAGUAGUUUUUUCCAUCAUAACCACCAACAGCAUAAAGUGCCCCAUUGAGUUCUGCUGCAGCCAAAGAAAAGCGCUGAAAAAAAAAAAACAUUGAGGUAAGUUUCGCAUGCCAAUUCUCAGCAGAAACAUUGCUCCAUUGUUAGUAUCGUAAGAAUAAACACCAUAAAGUAUUGGCCGCACAAUGCAGCAUUCUAAACAUAUUGGGGUGCCAUGAAAGACGACAGUUCCGUACUUAACCAAUUUACUAAUUUACACAACAGGAAUACAGGAUGCUAGUAAGAUUAAAAUGGGAUUCAACAAGUUCUUUCUACUUCAUCUGACAUGGUGGUCUUAUGAUAAUUGAUCGUUAGUCACACCUUUUCUUUAAGCUAUGGGCCAAGUCAAACAUUUGGAGAUAUAUAUGAUCCUUUCAUCUAGUACAGCACUUUCAACGAAAAUGCAUCUAUUUAUUUAUUCUCUAUUGCUAGGUUUAUAUUAUCUCAGCCUGCCGCUCACUUAUGACAAUAUAUGUCACUUAUGUGCCAUAUGCUACAUAACCUAAUAUAUAGUGACACAAGACGGAAGCAGAAUUGGAAAUUUAGCCAGUGACAUAUCAACACAAAGUUGAGAAAUAAAUUCAGAACGCUUUAUAAGCAUACACCAAGUCAUCUAUGCAAGACACUGCUAUCUUGGCAGGUUACAGUCUCAAUGCACAUGUUUCUAUGGGAGUGUUUAUCCUCAUUUGGUUCAAGCAUAAGCUAGUCAACAUCACAGGUAAAAGAAGCUAGAGGAGUGUGUAAGGAAUAUGUUAUUUGUCAUUACUCUAAUGAAAUUUAGUUGUUUGUAUCGUUGGAUUAAUUUCCCAAAUAUCCGCACCAAGUAUCACCUUUAUUCAAAACAUAUAAUACGUCCAUUUGUUUUGUUUUCAA